UCCGUACUUCCUCUCUACAUUCUAUCGCAGUUAGCGUUGCCGGCUUUUAGUGUUUAGAGUCGUGUCAGUUGAUUGCCGGCCAAUACAACGGACAUAUAUAGAAGGAAUUUUCCAUCAAAAUCCAGAAAAUUGCUAUUCACUGUUGUCUACAUCGCGUCGGUGUUCGGAUCGUAAUUCGAAGCAGUAGCCGGUACUGAAUCAGUAAUAUCACGACAAGUAAAACCGUGAAUUGGUAUACAGAUGGCUUCCAAGGUACCGCAAGUGACGCUCAACAAUGGAAAAUCGAUUCCCAUCCUGGGGCUUGGGACAUGGGGCUCUCCUCCCGGUGAAGUUGCUCAAGCAGUAAAGGAUGCAAUCGAUGUCGGCUACCGUCACAUCGAUGGUGCUCACGUAUAUCAAAAUGAACAUGAAGUUGGCGAAGGUGUCAAUGCAAAAAUUGCUGAAGGUGUUGUAAAGCGUGAGGAUCUGUUCAUUACGAGCAAGCUGUGGAAUACUUUCCACCGUCCGAACCUGGUGGAAGGGGCCUGCCGCACGACACUGAAGAACCUCGGGCUGGACUAUGUCGAUCUGUAUCUGAUCCACUGGCCCAUGGCCUACAAAGAAGACGGCGAACUGUUCCCGUCCGGUGCCGACGGAAAGACGGCCUAUUCCGAUGUGGACUACGUCGACACCUGGAAGGAGAUGGAAAAGUUGGUGGAACUGGGUCUUGCCAAGAGCAUCGGCAUUUCCAACUUCAAUUCCAAGCAGGUUGAACGAGUUUUGGCCAUUGCCAAGGUCAAGCCUGUGGUCAACCAGAUCGAGUGCCAUCCGUACUUGGCGCAGUCGAAACUGUCGCCGUUUUGUGCGAGUCGAGACAUCGUCAUCACCGCCUACAGCCCGCUUGGUUCACCGAACCGUCCAUGGGCCAAGCCAGAAGAUCCUCAGCUGAUGGAGGACCCGAAAAUCGUCGCCAUUGCUAAGAAAUACAACAAAACGCCCGCACAAAUCUUGAUUCGCUACCAGAUUCAACGUGGUCACGUGGUCAUUCCCAAAUCGGUUAACAAAUCUCGUAUACAGUCCAACUUUGAGGUUUUCGAUUUUGAAUUGACGGAGGAUGAUAUUAAGCUUAUCACAUCGUUCGACUGCAAUGGACGGUUGGUGCCAAUCACAAGCGCUGAUACCAGUCCACAUUAUCCCUUCCAUGAGGAUUUUUAAUGCAAAAUGAUUAAGCUGUACUUGUCAUCACGCGAGUCCUGGAGAAAACACACGUCUCUUGUUGUCAAUGUUGCUGCUGGUCAUCCUCAUCAUCCAUUCGAGAAAGAAGAAUUUUGAGCUCUGUAAUCUGAGAGACUCGUAAUAUCACAGAAGAAGAGAAUAGUGCGAUGAUCUAAAUGCCUUGGUUCCUUAUACCGAUUAUUACUACACAUAAAUAUGCACACUUCUACAGUAAAGAAUUUUAAAUAUCACUUUAAUAGGAAUAAAUCAAUGAUACAAUAA